UGCCCAGAGUUGGGACCGGUUUGGCUGUGGGCUCAGAUGCCUUUGGCCCUGGGCCCUCCGUCGCUCUCCCCUCCUGUCCACGAGAAGGGCCGGCCCGGCGCCCGGGCGCUGAGGCCCUGCAGGUGGGAGGGCGGUUUGUGUAGCCGGGGUGGGUGGGCUUGCCUGCUGCCCGCUGCCCAGCCAGUUGCCUCUCAGGAGGAUCUUUGGGGGCCUGGGUGGGGAGCUGAGCCCUGAGCCGCAGCCCUGCCUGUCACUCUGGAGCUGAUCCGCCUUCUCUCCCUACCAGGUAGAGGAAGGGGCUUCCCCAGGAAGGGCUGGAGCGAUGCCGCCCCCCGCAGACAUCGUCAAGGUGGCCGUGGAGUGGCCUGGGGCCAAUGCCCAGCUGCUUGAGAUUGAUCAGAAGCGCCCCCUGGCCUCCAUCAUCAAGGAAGUCUGCGAUGGGUGGUCGCUCUCCAACCCAGAGUACUACACCCUUCGCUAUGCAGACGGACCCCAGCUGUACAUCACGGAGCAGACGCGUGGUGACAUCAAGAACGGGACCAUCCUGCAGCUGGCGGUUUCUCCAUCUAGGGCUGCCCGCCAGCUGAUGGACCGGAGCCAGUCGCACAGCAUGGAGGCCCGGCUGGAGGCUGUGAAGGAGCUGGCCAAGCUCUCCGCCGACGCGACCUUUGCCACUGAGUUCAUCAACAUGGAGGGAAUAUCGGUGCUCACCCGGCUGGUGGAGAGUGGAACCAAGCUUCUCUCCCACUACAGCGAAAUGCUGGCAUUCACCCUGACGGCCUUUCUCGAGCUCAUGGACCACGGCAUCGUCUCCUGGGAUGUGGUCUCCGUUACCUUCAUCAAGCAGAUUGCUGGGUAUGUGAGCCAGCCGACGGUGGACGUCUCCAUCCUGCAGCGGUCCUUGGCCAUCUUGGAGAGCAUGGUGCUGAACAGCCAGAGCCUGUAUCAGAAGAUUGCAGAAGAGAUCACAGUCGGGCAGCUCAUCUCCCACCUGCAGGUGUCAAACCAGGAGAUCCAGACUUACGCAAUCGCCUUGAUCAACGCCCUCUUCCUGAAGGCCCCGGAGGACAAGAGGCAGGACGUGCUGCUUAACCCACUCGGCUUGCCGUGCACUGAAAUGGCCAGCGCCUUUGCCCAGACGCACCUGCGCUCUGUUAUUUUGACGCAUGUCAUUAGAGGAAACCGCCCAAUCAAAACGGAGAUGGCCCACCAACUGUAUGUGCUUCAAGUCCUGACUUUUAAUCUUCUGGAGGAGCGGAUGAUGACCAGGAUGGACCCCACUGACCAGGCCCAGAGAGACAUCAUUUUCGAGCUGCGGAGAAUUGCCUUUGAGGCGGAAUCCGAGAGCAACAGCCUUGUCCCCGGAGGAGGAGGAGGGGUGGAGAAGCGCAGGGCUAUGUACACGAAGGACUACAAGAUGCUGGGCUUCACGAACCAUAUCAACCCCGCUCUGGACUUCACCCAGACCCCUCCUGGGAUGCUAGCCUUGGACAACAUGCUGUAUCUGGCCAAACAUCAUCAGGACACCUACGUCCGGAUUGUGCUGGAGAACAGCAGCCGAGAGGACAAGCAUGAGUGCCCCUUCGGGCGCAGUGCCAUUGAGCUGACCAAAAUGCUGUGUGAGAUCCUGCAGGUCGGGGAGCUCCCCAAUGAGGGACGGAAUGAUUACCACCCGAUGUUUUUCACCCACGACCACGCCUUUGAGGAGCUCUUUGCUGUUUGCAUCCAGCUGCUCAACAAAACCUGGAAAGAGAUGCGGGCAACAGCAGAGGACUUCAACAAGGUGAUGCAGGUGGUGCGAGAGCAGAUCACCCGGGCCCUGCCCUCCAAGCCCAGCUCCCUGGACCAGUUCAAGAGCAAGCUGCGCAGCCUGAGCUACUCGGAGAUCCUGCGCUUGCGCCAGUCGGAGCGUCUGAGCCAAGACGACUUCCAGUCCCCGCCCAUCGUGGAGCUGCGAGAGAGGAUCCAGCCGGAGAUUCUGGAGCUCAUCAAGCAGCAGCGCCUGAACCGCCUCUGUGAAGGGAGCAGCUUCCGCAAGAUUGGGAACCGGAGGAGGCCAGAGCGCUUCUGGUACUGCCGCCUGGCUCUGAACCACAAGGUGCUGCACUACGGUGAUCUGGAGGACCAUGCACAGGGCGAGGUGACCUUUGAGGCCCUGCAGGAAAAAAUUCCUGUUGCAGAUAUCAAGGCUAUUGUCACAGGGAAAGACUGUCCCCACAUGAAAGAAAAGGGUGCCCUGAAGCAGAACAAGGAGGCACUAGAUCUGGCCUUCUCCAUCAUCUAUGACCCAGAUGAAACCUUGAACUUCAUUGCACCCAACAAAUAUGAGUACUGCAUCUGGAUUGACGGACUCCACGCCCUGCUGGGGAAGGACAUGGCCAGCGACCUGACCAAGAGCGACCUAGAGACUCUGCUCAGCAUGGAGAUGAAGCUGCGCUUGCUGGACCUGGAGAACAUCCCCAUCCCGGAGGUGCCCCCGCCCGUCCCCAAGGAGCCCAGCAGCUACGACUUCGUCUACCACUACGGCUGAUGGCACCACGGCGGAAAGGGUCCCGGGCAGCCGUGCCGGGGGAGCGUCCGGCUCUCCUCUGUGCGCAGGACCUCGGGCCUCUUGGACUGCAGGAAGGACCCUUGCUGUGUUUCGUUUUGCCUUCUGGGUGCUGACUGCCCCCCCUUUGUAAACGGGGGGAGCUUAGUGGGUUGAAGGCAGCCACAGGCUCCUGCCAGAGCGGCUCUUGCUUGCACAGAAGCCAAGUCCUAGCGCUGGGCCUGGUGCCCUGUUCCCCUGGGGAGGUGGCUGCCCUUGGCUCGCCUCUGCCGGCUGGGCUGGGCUGGAUUCGGCCCUGUUGGGGGUGAGCAGCUGUGCUUCCUUUUUCUGGAGGGUGGGGUGGACACAGGCUGAUGAUAGCAGUAGAGGACUCCAGCAGGGGCCUGAUCCACCUCCACUCUCAACAACCUCUAAGUGUAGGGGGCUCUACAGCGACCAGCGUGCAGGCCAGAGGCGAUGGAGCCCGUGGAAGCACUGCGGGGUUGUGUGGUGCCCGUGGGCAACAAGCUGCAGCCCACCCCGGGGCUUUUGAGGCCACUGCCUCCAUGAUGAAGGGCAGAGCCCCCCCUGGACACGCCCUUGGCCCCAAAGGACUGCCUCCCUAUUGCUCAGCCGAUUGCUCCCUCCCCCCCAUACAUGGGCUGGGCCUGGUGCAUGGCCCCUCCCUCCAACCUUACAUUGUUAAAGGCUUUUCCUUCUCCUUUAACCAGCUCCUGUUUUCCCUCCUGAGGUCUGUGCCAACUGACCACUCUACCCUGUGCUUGUGUCUAUUGCUGGACCGCCAACAGCAAACUGCACCCACGCUGGUCCCUGGUGUGAAGGUUCAGCUGUAACGAGGGUCAGAAUGUGUCGCUUCAUUUCCGUGUCUUCUCACACAGGAGAGCUCUGUGCAGACAUUCGUGGGCAAGUUUGGUUCCCCGCUGGAGCUAACGUUAAAGGAAGGCUUCUUCUGGCGUGCUUAUGUUGUGCCAUCGAGCCACUUCUGAACUAGUCACCUCUGAAAGGUCCCAUCGCAUACAACUCUGCCCAGGUCUUGCCAACUCCUGGGGUGAGGGGUGGGGUCUUCCUCUUUUCCUGCUCUCUUCCACUUUUCCUAGCCUUUGUGUCUCCUCCAGUGCCCAAAAUACAAUAGCCUUCGUUCAGUCAUGCUGCUUCUAGAAAGAAUUCAGGCUUGAUUUCAUCUAAGACCCAGAAGUCUUUCUUAAAGUCCAGUGUGUCUAUCUAUACUGUUCUCCUCCAACAUGUAUUUCAAAUAAAUAAAUUAUUCCAUGCCAGCUUUCUACACUGUUCAGCUUUCAAACGUCUGUGCAUAAUACUUGGCAGUACUACCGCGUGGAUAGCUGUGGCCUUCCUGGCAUUCCACUCCCUCAUAGCCACCCUUCCUUGUCUGAGUCUUUUUCUGGGAGUAUCUUAGAAGAGGUAGCCGUGUAAGUGUCUGUGCUGGCAUAUCAAGGAAAGACAAAAGUAAGAAAUAAAGGAGGCAAAAGCAUUGUGGCACCGUCAGUUUCUGCUUCUUCAGGCCUUGCCUGAAGAAGGGGGGCUUGUCUACAAAAGCAUGCUUAAAAAUACAGUAUUUAGGUUUUAAGGUGCCAUGUUUUUGUAUAUUUUUCUUUUGUUUUUGCCCAGUAUGCAUGCUAACCUUUUUCUGAUUUGUUUGUUUGUUUUCCUUUUCAGUCAUUUGGACUGAUGAUUGUACCGAGAGAUAGAAAAUCUCUUUAAGAAUUUUAAUUAUUUCAUUGUCACAAAUUUCCACACCUCCUUCAUCUCAGUGAAAUCCAGUUUUCCGUAUGCUAGGCUAUGUUCUUUAUUAUGCAACUUGGAUAGAUAAGGAGAUUCCAUUCAAACAGUAGCUUCUUGUCCAGAGUAUCAACUAUGCAUCAGGACAAUCAAGUGUUGAGGCAAACCAGUUUCUUUCAGAACAAUCCACAGCUUCUGAGCCACAUAGUCAAAGGCUUUGCUGCUGCUGGGCUACAAAACAUAGACUGGUCCUCUUUGAAAUUUCUUGGUAGGCCUCAGUAGCCAACGUAUAAUUUUAGUGGGAUCUCUGAUGUCUCUUCCUUUUUGAAAUCCAGCUUGGAACAUUCAGUAUGUCUCACUGUAUUUAUGGAAAAAAAUGUUUAUUGAAAAAUAUGCUUGCACAGGAAGUUAAUGAGAUGGUCUUACAUCUUCUGCACUCUUUGGUGUUUUCUUUCUUUGGGACUGGAAUACGAAUGUUUGUGGGCCAUUGUCUUGUUUUCUCUAUGUGUCAGUCCUGUUAGGAUUUUGAUAGAUUCGAUUGUUAUAGCUUGAAAAGGUUCUGUGUAUCCCAUCUACUCUUCUUGACUUGUUUCUUCCAGGUGCUUUCAGAGCAAUUUUCACUUCACUUUCUAAAAUGUAGGGUCUUCAUUACAGGAUUUCUCUUCAAAGGAAUCUGUUAUCAUUUCAUCUCUUCAAUGUACUGUUUCCAUUUACUCUUUAUUUUAUUUUGAACAAAGAAUGUGGUUCUCCUAUUGAUAUUUUAGCAUCCCUAAUCUUGGUUUAAAUUUCUCUUUAUUUUCUUGAAUCUUAUGGAGGAGAUAUCUGGCUCCCUACCCCCCCCCCCUUUAACUGUUCCUUUAUAUUUACUUGCGCUGAUUAUCACAAUAGUCCUCUUACAUAAGAGUCUCUGAAAAGUUGCAUCUAGGAUUCUGAUCCUAUUUCUGCCAGUUUUUCUUUUUGUUUCUUGUCUAUUAACAAUUUUAAGAGUUUUAGCAUUCAUCCAUGUAGGAGCGUCCUGGUGCGGGAGUUAAACUGCUGUCCUGCUGCCAACACUGUGCUCAUGUCCCAGGCAGCCAGCUCCAGGUUGACUCAGCAUUCUAUCCUUCCAAGAGGGAAUACAGCUUCUCUGUCAACUACUUCCAAUUGUGCAGUUAAUUUGAUUUCUCUGUUGGUUGUCUAGUGAUGCCCAUAUGUACAGUUGUCUGUUUCAUUGCCUGUAACUGCAAUAAAAGUGGAUGGAUUUAGAAUUCUACAAGGUACUUUCCUGCUUCUUUUCUUAUUGAUAGACCAAAUUUUUUGACAAGGUUUGUUCCUAUGUCAUUUCCUUCUUUUGUGUUCCGUGCACCUAUGAUUAUCAGCAUAUUAUAUUUUGGUGUGUGAUCCAUUUCCUCCUGGACAUUUGCAUAAUACCCUUUAGUCUAGAUCUGAAUGAUUGUUAUUAUGGCCCCUAACUGCUUCUGCUACAUCAUGCCUCAUUAG